rnacentral:ncRNA from 1 species
CUUAGGGAAGGAGAUGGCAUUCCUCCUUGAACUGCCGGUUUUCUGGCUGAUGAUGCCUACCGCACC